UUCAAAACCCAACACAUAAUAGUAACCAAAAAAAGGAAAUGCCUUGGUACUAAUUUUUUUAAAAUUAACUAGUAGCAUGCAAAGAAGAGGUUUCAACUACACAGAAUCGGUGCUACUUAAGUUGAAGGAUUAAGGAAUUUAUCUUGAUCCUUGCGAUAGAGAUCAAACAUUUCCUUUCGUAUCACCUCAAUCCUCUCAUCCAUAGAAUUUACCCAAAUCAUAAUGAACGCUACACGUUCCUGCAACCUUCUCAUUUGUUCAACUAGGUCAGUCAUUCUUUUGAAUAGUUGUUCGGUACCACUUGGAAUGCUAUCAGAACUUUCUUCAGUAGGCUGGACGUAAAUAUAAAAAAUAAUUGGUAGGGUUAAAUAUACAUGCAAAAAAUGAUAGGAUUACUACAAUGGAAGGUAGUUUCAACUCAUACCUUCAUAUCUUCAACAACUGCAACUACAAUAAAUUUCUUUUUUG
rnacentral:lncRNA from 1 species